UGGGGAAUUUUGGACAAUGGGGGAAACCCUGAUCCAGCCAUCCCGCGUGUGCGAUGAGGGCCUUCGGGUUGUAAAGCACUUUUGGCAGGAAAGAAACGUCAUGGGUUAAUACCCCGUGAAACUGACGGUACCUGCAGAAUAAGCACCGGCUAACUACGUGCCAGCAGCCGCGGUAAUACGUAGGGUGCAAGCGUUAAUCGGAAUUACUGGGCGUAAAGCGUGCGCAGGCGGUUCGGAAAGAAAGAUGUGAAAUCCCAGAGCUCAACUUUGGAACUGCAUUUUUAACUACCGGGCUAGAGUGUGUCAGAGGGAGGUGGAAUUCCGCGUGUAGCAGUGAAAUGCGUAGAUAUGCGGAGGAACACCGAUGGCGAAGGCAGCCUCCUGGGAUAACACUGACGCUCAUGCACGAAAGCGUGGGGAGCAAACAGG
rnacentral:rRNA from 1 species